UACGGAGGGGGCGAGCGUUAUUCGGAAUUAUUGGGCGUAAAGGGCGCGUAGGUGGCUGAACAAGUCAAAGGUGAAAUCCCUCGGCUCAACUGAGGAACUGCCUUUGAAACUGUUCGGCUUGAGGCCGGGAGGGGGUAGCGGAAUUCCCAGUGUAGCGGUGAAAUGCGUAGAUAUUGGGAGGAACACCAGUGGCGAAGGCGGCUACCUGGACCGGUUCUGACGCUGAGGCGCGAAAGCGUGGGUAGCAAACAGG
rnacentral:rRNA from 1 species